UGGGGAAUAUUGGACAAUGGGCGAAAGCCUGAUCCAGCAAUACCGCGUGUGUGAAGAAGGCCUUAGGGUUGUAAAGCACUUUCAAUUGGGAGGAAAAAACAAGGAUUAAUACGCCUUGUCUUGACAUUACCUUUAGAAGAAGCACCGGCUAACUCCGUGCCAGCAGCCGCGGUAAUACGGAGGGUGCAAGCGUUAAUCGGAAUUACUGGGCGUAAAGAGUGCGUAGGCGGCUCGUUAAGUCAGAUGUGAAAGCCCUGGGCUCAACCUGGGAACUGCAUUUGAAACUGGCGAGCUAGAGUUGAGUAGAGGUAAGUGGAAUUUCAGGUGUAGCGGUGAAAUGCGUAGAUAUCUGAAGGAACACCAGUGGCGAAGGCGACUUACUGGACUCAAACUGACGCUGAGGUACGAAAGCGUGGGUAGCAAACAGG
rnacentral:rRNA from 1 species